rnacentral:rRNA from 1 species
GACGAACGCUGGCGGCGUGCUUAACACAUGCAAGUCGAACGGAAAGGCCCUGCUUUUGUGGGGUGCUCGAGUGGCGAACGGGUGAGUAACACGUGAGUAACCUGCCCUUGACUUUGGGAUAACUUCAGGAAACUGGGGCUAAUACCGGAUAGGAGCUCCUGCUGCAUGGUGGGGGUUGGAAAGUUUCGGCGGUUGGGGAUGGACUCGCGGCUUAUCAGCUUGUUGGUGGGGUAGUGGCUUACCAAGGCUUUGACGGGUAGCCGGCCUGAGAGGGUGACCGGCCACAUUGGGACGGAGAUACGGCCCAGACUCCGACGGGAGGCAGGAGGGGGGAAUAGUGCACAGGGGGCGGAAGCCUGAUGCAGCAACCCCGGGGGGGGGAUGACGGCCUUCGGGUUGAAAACCGCUUCCGCUUGGGACGAAGCGUGAGGGACGGUAAUGGAAAAAGAAGCACCGGCUAACUACGUG